CUUUUUUCGGAACGGGUGAGUAACGCGUGAGAAUCUGCCUAUAGGUUCGGGACAACAGUUGGAAACGACUGCUAAUACCGGAUGUGCCGAGAGGUGAAAGCUUAAUGUGCCUAUAGAUGAGCUCGCGUCUGAUUAGCUAGUUGGUGGGGUAAGAGCUCACCAAGGCAACGAUCAGUAACUGGUCUGAGAGGAUGACCAGUCACACUGGGACUGAGACACGGCCCAGACUCCUACGGGAGGCAGCAGUGGGGAAUUUUCCGCAAUGGGCGAAAGCCUGACGGAGCAAUACCGCGUGAGGGAGGACGGCUUUUGGGUUGUAAACCUCUUUUAUUGGGGAAGAAGAUCUGACGGUACCCAAUGAAUCAGCAUCGGCUAACUCCGUGCCAGCAGCCGCGGUAAUACGGAGGAUGCAAGCGUUAUCCGGAAUUAUUGGGCGUAAAGGGUCCGCAGGUGGCCAGUCAAGUCUGCUGUUAAAGCGUGGAGCUUAACUCCAUAAGGGCAGUGGAAACUGAGUGGCUAGAGUUCGGUAGGGGUCACGGGAAUUCCCAGUGUAGCGGUGAAAUGCGUAGAUAUUGGGAAGAACACCGGCGGCGAAAGCGCGUGACUGGGCUGAGACUGACACUGAG
rnacentral:rRNA from 1 species